UUGGUUUAAAUCGAUGUGGCUCUACACUUUGAAAAUUGAAUUCAAAUAAAGUGGUGAGAUAUACAUUGAUUUCAUCCGA
rnacentral:pre_miRNA from 1 species